AUUGAACGCUGGCGGCAGGCCUAACACAUGCAAGUCGAGCGAGCGGCGGACGGGUGAGUAAUGUAUGGGGACUGCCCGAUAGAGGGGGAUAACUACUGGAAACGGUAGCUAAUACCGCAUACUAUCGGAUAACCCAUAUGGGAUUAGCUAGUAGGUGCGGUAAUGGCUCAACUAGGCGACGAUCCCUAGCUGGGCUGAGAGGAUGAGUAGCCAACUUGGGACGGUGACACGGCCCAGACUCCUACGGAGGCAGCAGUGGGGAAUAUUGGAAAAUGGGCGCAAGCCUGAUGCAUCCAUGCCGCGUGUAUGAAGAAGGCCCUAGGGUUGUAAAGUACGUUCAGUCGGGAGGCGGUACCGAAAGAAGAAGCACCGGCUAACUCCGUGCCAGCCGCCGCGGUAAUUC
rnacentral:rRNA from 1 species